rnacentral:lncRNA from 1 species
GAAGCUCAAAGCCGCACUGGAAACACAGUCUUUCAGGAUGUCUGAAAGGGGCAAGUCUGUUUGUGUGGGGUAAGAAAUGCGGGGAGACAAACGGACAGUGGACAGAUUGCAGAGAGCUCUGUGUGCUGAGAGGAGGGUGCAGACCAGAUUUUUAAAUUGAGAAUGCAACAGUGAAGGAUUUCAAGCUUGGAGUGAGAGGGGAGACUACGAGCCUGCAGUGAUAAGGCAAAGCUGAAGAUUUCAGAGCCAAGGCCACACCCUACAGUUGCCAUGGAAUGGGGUGGCACAGUGGGCUUUGGAGGAAUCAAAGCUGGAGGAGCGGAAGAUAUACAGGGAGUCCACGGAGCCUCCCCUGCAAGCAUCAGUACAGAAGUCGAUGAUAAUCUGGAUGCAAGCCCAGGAGUGUGGAGUCCACUGACUCAGAAGACCUGCAUCUAAGGAAUUGGCUGUUCUUAUCCUUAAGAAUGAUGACUGUGUUUCCAAUUCCAGUAGACCCUUUGAUGCGUUCUGAAUAAAUAUUCCUUUUGGAAUUGAACUUCUAGAGCCCUUA